GACGAACGCUGGCGGCGUGCUUAACACAUGCAAGUCGAACGGAAAGGCCCUGCUUUUGUGGGGUGCUCGAGUGGCGAACGGGUGAGUAACACGUGAGUAACCUGCCCUUGACUUUGGGAUAACUUCAGGAAACUGGGGCUAAUACCGGAUAGGAGCUCCUGCUGCAUGGUGGGGGUUGGAAAGUUUCGGCGGUUGGGGAUGGACUCGCGGCUUAUCAGCUUGUUGGUGGGGUAGUGGCUUACCAAGGCUUUGACGGGUAGCCGGCCUGAGAGGGUGACCGGCCACAUGGGGACUGAGAUACGGCCCGAACUCCUACGGGGGGCAGGGGGGGGGAAUUUGGCAAAAGGGGGGGAAGCCUGAUGGAGCAACGCCGGGUGGGGGAUGAGGGCCUUGGGGUUGUAAACCGCUUUGGCCGGGGACGAAGGGGGGGGGAGGGUAAUGGGAAAAGAAACACCGGCUAACUACGU
rnacentral:rRNA from 1 species